UUGAGUGAAGGUGGAUGAUUCUGUGCGUGCGUGUGUCCGAAAAGUGCGUGUUUUCGGAAAUGUGGCAGGAUCUGCACGGUGUGGGAGGUGCGGGAGUAAAUUCUGGUGCUCACCAACUCGAUCAGUUCGGCACAACUGAAUUGACGUCCGAACACCAGAAGAUUCUAAUAGACAUCAGACGAAAGAAGACGGAGCUGCUGCUCGAAAUACAACAACUGAAAGAUGAGCUGGGCGAAGUGGUGGCCGAGAUGGAGGCGAUGGAGGGCGGUGGUCUCGCGCCCGACGAAACCAAGCCGUCAAACAAGGCGAAGCAGACGUCGAUCGGCCGUAAGAAGUUCAACAUGGACCCUAAGAAGGGCAUCGAGUACCUGAUCGAGCAUAAUCUGCUGGCACCGACGCCGGAGGACGUCGCUCAGUUCCUCUACAAGGGCGAAGGUCUGAACAAAACCGCGAUCGGCGAUUACCUCGGCGAGCGAAACGACUUCAACGAGAGGGUGUUGCGCGCCUUCGUCGAAUUGCACGACUUCACGGACCUGAUCCUGGUGCAAGCUCUUCGGCAGUUCCUCUGGUCGUUCAGACUGCCCGGCGAGGCUCAGAAGAUCGACCGGAUGAUGGAAUGCUUCGCGCAGAGGUAUUGCCAGCUGAACCCGAACAUAUUCACGAACACGGACACCUGUUACGUGCUCAGCUUCGCCAUCAUCAUGUUGAACACGUCCCUGCACAAUCCGAGCGUCAAGGAUAAGCCCAGCGUGGAACAGUUCAUAUCUAUGAACCGUGGCAUCAACAAUGGCGGAGACUUGCCUCGCGAACUCCUUGUGAGUUUAUACGAAAGUAUAAAAACAGAACCAUUCAAGAUACCGGAGGACGAUGGGAACGAUCUGAUGCACACGUUCUUCAACCCGGAUAAGGAAGGCUGGCUCUGGAAGCAAGGCGGACGUUACAAGAGCUGGAAGAGACGAUGGUUCAUAUUGAACGACAACUGUCUCUAUUACUUCGAAUACACGACCGACAAGGAGCCACGAGGCAUCAUUCCGCUGGAAAACAUUCAGGUCAGAGAGGUGCAGGAUCGGCACAAGCCGCAUUGCUUCGAGCUGUACGCCGCCGGCUCAGAGUUCAUCAAGGCGUGCAAGACGGACAGCGAGGGAAAAGUUGUCGAAGGCAAGCACACCGUGUACAGAAUGUCUGCGGCCACAGACGAAGAAAAGGAAGAAUGGAUCAAAUGCGUGCGGUACGCUGUUAUUCAUUCUGUGAAUAAUUCAAAGGAGGCCCUUGGUUCUAACUGAAGUUAGACCUACUUAUUUAACGCUUUUACGAAUCUUUUAUUAUGUGGGCAAUUUCGGAUUUUAAUUCAAAAGUUUUAGUAGGAAAGACAUAAAUACCUCAAUUGAGAAUUCAAUACAGCAAAGCAUAUCACACAAUCCUUUCUAUGACAUGCUUGCGGCUAGAAAAAAGAAGGCGCA
rnacentral:misc_RNA from 1 species